rnacentral:tRNA from 1 species
CGAGGAGCUGGAGUGGGCCGGCGCCCAGCCGCGCCUCCUGGGCGAGGCCCUGGUGGAGAGCGACGCCGUCGCCGGGCCACCUCCGGCCUUCGCGC